UGGGGAAUAUUGCACAAUGGGGGGAACCCUGAUGCAGCAACGCCGCGUGAGUGAUGACGGCCUUCGGGUUGUAAAGCUCUGUCUUCAGGGACGAUAAUGACGGUGCCUGAGGAGGAAGCCACGGCUAACUACGUGCCAGCAGCCGCGGUAAUACGUAGGUGGCGAGCGUUGUCCGGAUUCCUUGGGCGUAAAGCGCGCGUAGGCGGUCUGUUAGGUCAGGAGUCAAAUCCGGGGGCUCAACCCCCGUUCGCUUCUGAUACCGGCAGACUUGAGUUUGGUAGGGGAAGGUGGAAUUCCCAGUGUAGCGGUGGAAUGCGCAGAUAUUGGGAAGAACACCGGUGGCGAAGGCGGCCUUCUGGGCCAUAACUGACGCUGAGGCGCGAAAGCUAGGGGAGCGAACA
rnacentral:rRNA from 1 species